UACGGAGGGUGCAAGCGUUGUCCGGAAUCACUGGGCGUAAAGGGCGCGUAGGCGGCUCAUGAAGGCUGUGGUGAAAGUCCGGGGCUCAACCUCGGAUCGGCCGUGGCGACUCGUGGGCUGGAGCACUGUAGAGGCGGGUGGAAUUCCGGGUGUAGCGGUGAAAUUCGUAGAUAUUCGCAAGAACACCAGUGGCGAAGGCGGCUCACUGGCCCGGAACUGACGCUGAGGUGCGAAAGCGUGGGGAGCAAACAGG
rnacentral:rRNA from 1 species